UAAAUAAAUAUUUGUUGAUUUUGUCGUGGGGAUGUUAAAUUAGCGAUUAGUUAAGUUACAUUUUCUAAGCUAAUAAAUUUAUUGUACACUUUUGUUAUCAACAUUAUACAGGAGUCUUGCAUUACUGACUGCUGUGUUCGACAUGACUUCCCAAGAAAAGCAACUAAAGUCUUUAAUGAAACCCAACUCAGUAGCUCCUGAAGGCUGCAACAUAAAAGUGCAUUGAACUCAGCCUGGGAAAGGACAACAAAUUCGGCGCUUGUCUGGGAAUUCAAGACGUUGCCAAUUCACAAAGCCGUUGGCAAAAAAUAUGAAUAGCGAACCACCCUACUGCACAUGUUCAUCGGGCACAUUGUUGUUGUUGUUGUUGUCUUACUCACUGGACAUCCGCCGUGUGAUCGAGGUCUGCAAGGCAAUGUGAUGAAAUAAUUAGCAACAGGUUGGUCGCUUGCAAAUCG